rnacentral:rRNA from 1 species
GGGUUGUGAGGUUAAGCGACUAAGCGUACACGGUGGAUGCCCUGGCAGUCAGAGGCGAUGAAGGGCGUGCUAAUCUGCGAUAAGCGCCGGUAAGGUGAUAUGAACCGUUAUAACCGGCGAUACCCGAAUGGGGAAACCCAGUGUGAUUCGUCACACUAUCAUUAACUGAAUCCAUAGGUUAAUGAGGCGAACCGGGGGAACUGAAACAUCUAAGUACCCCGAGGAAAAGAAAUCAACCGAGAUUCCCCCAGUAGCGGCGAGCGAACGGGGAGGAGCCCAGAGCCUGAAUCAGCAUGUGUGUUAGUGGAAGCGUCUGGAAAGGCGCGCGAUACAGGGUGACAGCCCCGUACACAAAAGCGCAUGUGCUGUGAGCUCGAUGAGUAGGGCGGGACACGUGGUAUCCUGUCUGAAUAUGGGGGGACCAUCCUCCAAGGCUAAAUACUCCUGACUGACCGAUAGUGAACCAGUACCGUGAGGGAAAGGCGAAAAGAACCCCGGCGAGGGGAGUGAAAAAGAACCUGAAACCGUGUACGUACAAGCAGUGGGAGCCCCACCACUAAGCCAGUGGUGAACUCCACAUACG